UAUACAAUGAGACCAUUUACUUUUGAUACAAUGAGGUCACAAUCAUCAUUGGCUGUUGGAUUUGAUAUCGGGUGGUUGAGGAUGUAUCAUUGUUUGGGCACCAAGUCCAAAAACAUUUCUCAAUUGUUGUGUCGCACUUUUAUCUAUUGGAUUUCAUGUCCAAUAGCUAAAGUGAUUGUGACCUCCUUGUAUAAAAAAUAAAUAGUCUCAUACUAUA
rnacentral:pre_miRNA from 1 species